AUUGAACGCUGGCGGCAUGCCUUACACAUGCAAGUCGAACGGUAACAGGUUAAGCUGACGAGUGGCGAACGGGUGAGUAAUGUAUCGGAACGUGCCCAGUCGUGGGGGAUAACUGCUCGAAAGAGCAGCUAAUACCGCAUACGACCUGAGGGUGAAAGCGGGGGAUCGCAAGACCUCGCGCGAUUGGAGCGGCCGAUAUCAGAUUAGGUAGUUGGUGAGGUAAAGGCUCACCAAGCCGACGAUCUGUAGCUGGUCUGAGAGGACGACCAGCCACACUGGGACUGAGACACGGCCCAGACUCCUACGGGAGGCAGCAGUGGGGAAUUUUGGACAAUGGGCGCAAGCCUGAUCCAGCCAUGCCGCGUGCGGGAAGAAGGCCUUCGGGUUGUAAACCGCUUUUGUCAGGGAAGAAAAGGUUCUGGCUAAUACCUGGGACUCAUGACGGUGCCUGAAGAAUAAGCACCGGCUAACUACGUG
rnacentral:rRNA from 1 species